UGGACAAUUGAUCUGUCAAAUAAAUUAACACGACAAUAAUGUUUAAGCAGAACAAAAUUAUUCAAUGAUUUCAAUACACAUUUAUUUCAAAUCUAUUAGAAUUGAACACAAGUCCGAUUAACCGGUUAGCGUUUUUGGAAUUAGAUGUUCGGUCCUUCCCAUGGUUAACCGUUGACAUCACUACUAUUUCGUCUUGAAUACUGAUAGUGUUCUACCACAAUUAUUUGCAAUGUAAACUUUUGAUAGUUUCUCAUUGUAAUAAAAUGCAAGAGGAUUGUACACAUUAUCUGGUGAUAAAAUGUCGACUAAGAUUCCAGAAGAUGUAAGAAUAUGGAUGUUAUCCCGUCCAAGGACGAGUAAAUUGCCAGCAUCAUCAAUUUGAAUACCUCGUGCAUGCCGAAGAUCGGGAGAAGUAUAAGAGAAAACAGGUUCUCCAUCUGACGUAAUGCAUUGGACUUCAUUGAAAGUUGAAUAACAGAUGUUUCCAUUUGAGCAAACGGAAAUGUAACUAAUGUAAUGAUCUACGUUUUUCAAAUGUAUUGUUCUAACGAAAUUUCCACGUAGGUCUAGGACAUAUAUUUUCCCUAUAGUUCCGAUAUAUAUGUUUUCUUUUGUAGCAGCAACACCAUAACAUUCACCUUGUUUCACUUCUAUCUUCUUUAAUAUUUUCUGUCUAUCUAUAUCUAUCAACUGUAUGUACGGUGUAGAUUUACAAGACACAACAGCUGUGGUUGUUUCUGGUAUAGCUGUUAUAUCCCAUGGUUUAUAUUUAGCAUUGAUACAUGAUUGAUAGGUAUCGUUUUCAUCACAAAAAUAUACCUUUUCUUUACACAGACUAUCACAGAAAAUCAAUAUUUUAUCAUCUGAUAUUGUGAUGCCAGUUACUCCAUUCAACUUUUUUCCUUUCAUGUCGAUGUCACGAAGAUAGGUGAACGAGCUAAUGUUGUGCUUCAGAACAAUUGGAACCGGUGACUGCCUCUGCUUGUAAGGGACAAUUGAAACUGAACUAGGAGUUUCCUUCGAUUCUAUCGAACCGAUAUCCGUCACAUAUUCUUUCGAGUGUUUUUCUAAAAACCUUAGGCUGGUGUCUACCAACGAUUCUCUCAGCUGGUUCACUUUGUUUUCAAUCUCAUCUAAGAUUGGUUUAGAUGAAUGAAUUAAAAUAAAUGUUUGUUUCUCAGAACCAUGAUCUCUUAUAAAUUCUAAAGCUUCCUUUUGGGCUUCUGUUGAUGUCACUAAUUCACCUAUAUCUUUCUCUUGAACUUUAAUACCAGUCAUAGCUUUGUCCUUCAAUUCGGUUAGUUGUUUAAGAAGCGACUUUUCUAAAGAUUCCAAGCCUUUGAUGACAUUUUCUUUUGCUUUUGCUAUUUCUUUCCUUAUUUUACUUUCUUCUAGUUCUAUUCGACUACUAUUUUCCUUCCGAUUUUUUUUCAAUUUUUCUAAUGCAUCUGAAAUAAAGCUCAACUGUUCGUUAUAGUCCAGGAAUGACUGUGACUGCUUAGAAUUCUUUGACGCAAUAUCAAUUGAUGUGACGUUCUUACAUGCUCGAUGAUCUUUUGGCAAACAUUCCUCACAACAAAUAACAUCAUGAUCAACACAAAAAUAAUCAAAAGGCAAAUGUUGAUGUUUUGAACAAUAAUACGAUAAAUCAAUUUUGUUUGGUAUUUUACCUAUUUCAACCAAAUGGUGACUUCGAGACAUUUUUUGAACUUUGUGAGCUUCUGUACAUUCGGAACACAGUGCUUCUUCACAUUCGGUACACCAUUGUAAGCCUUGAGUCUUACGCCGUGCAGUGCACGGUUCGCAGUAUUUGGCUGUGUUAUUUCUAAAAUAAAAAUAAUUUUAAAAAUGUGCUA
rnacentral:lncRNA from 1 species